UACGAAGGGGGAGCUAGCGUUGCUCGGAAUCACUGGGCGUAAAGGUGCGUAGGCGGGUCUUUAAGUCAGGGGUGAAAUCCUGGAGCUCAACUCCAGAACUGCCUUUGAUACUGAAGAUCUUGAGUUCGGGAGAGGUGAGUGGAACUGCGAGUGUAGAGGUGAAAUUCGUAGAUAUUCGCAAGAACACCAGUGGCGAAGGCGACUCACUGGACAUGUAUUGACGCUGAGGUGACGAAAGCGUGGGGAGCAAACAGGG
rnacentral:rRNA from 1 species